rnacentral:tmRNA from 1 species
GGGGGCGUUUUUGGGAUUCGACGGGGAUAGUUCGAGCGUAAGAAGCGAGUCGAGGGGUUGCGGCCUCGUUAAAACGCAUUCGCCAAAUGUAACUGGCAAACAAGAAAACUAUGCACUAGCUGCCUAAUAGAUGUAGCUAGGACUCACCUCUUCAUCGCCUGUGUGAAGUGGUAGAGUCUCAACUUAUAGCAGGCUAGCCAACUCGGUGGUCACAGACGAGAAGGCGAAUCUUUAUGUGACUGGUUCAAAGCAUCGCCUGUCACUGGACAGUGCCGCGAACGAGACCCUUUAAAACAGUGACUGCACUCGGAGAAACUUGCGUGUCGUUAUCUUCGGACAGCGGUUCAAAUCCGCUCGCCUCCACCA